AGAGACUCCUCUCCCUAAGUGACCUGAAAAAAGACUAAUCUAGGGGUGGAAAAGUGACUGAAAGGGAAAUUGUUGUGAAUACACAUCAAUGGGACACCUCUUCGCAGUCAUAUGUGAAUGAAUGAUGUGAAAUAAGGAGUUAUCUUUUCUUUGACUUUAUCCUGAACUAUUUCAGAGGACCAGAGGAAGACUAAUUUUCAUUCAGCAUAGUCCAGAUUCAGGGCUGCAAAGGAGUGAGAGGGUCUAAGAGACCAUACAAACUAUCAGGUGCCUUCAAUGGGAACAGAAAUUGGUUUAUGCUCAAAAGACAAAAAACCCAAAACAACCCUCCUUUCCUGAAAACGAGUUGCUCCAGCCUCAGUUUCUGCCAAGAUUUUUGAAAACUGUCAUAGCUGAAAGACACUGGUUUUGAGCACUCCUAUUUAAGGCAAAAGUUUAAAUGUCCCAAGACUUCGACGAAGUUUGAAAGACCCUCCAAAACACAAGUGU